GUUUUAUUAAGACUCGGUCAAGAGUUUAAAUAGCUAAGCUUUGGUAAAGGAGCGGUUUAUGUGCUUGAGUGUUUCUGUGUGUGUGAUUUGAUUUAUUAUAAGCCGGCAUUUAUUUUAAGAACUUUGUGAUUUAAUUACAUCUGUAUUUUGUGCUUUUGUCUGUGUAUGUCUUGUUGGGUACCAUAUAUGUUAAUUGUAAUCUAUACAAUUUGUAUCGUUACUCUCCUAUUCUAUCUUUUGUCCUAAGGAGAGCUGUGCUUAGGCAAUCACAUGGUUAAAAAACUUUGUGCUUGCAAGUCUUCCUCCCUCCUCCCCCCUCCUUCUUUGUUGCUUUCUCUUGCUCUGACUGCUAUGAGUAUUGGCUACAGGGGGGUGAAUGGGUGAAAUGCUUGUAAACUCAGUGAGGAAUGUGAGGGAAACAAGGUAUAUUUGCUGGACGAAUAACCUAGUUAGGAACUUUGUGUAAUCUUGUAUAUGUUGUUAAGCAAGAGGUUAUUGGCAUGUUGGAAUAAGGAAAGUUAGAUUUUGUUGGAACAAAUGAAUUGUGGAAUUUAUAAAUGAUAUCGCAGAGAAAAGUAAAUUGCAGUUUGCAUUUAAUAGCAGCUAUUCAGAUGCUGUUUUGUGGCAAUCUUUAUACACACAAUGUGAAAUUGCCAAUAGUGAAAUUGACAAGAAAUUGUUUGUUAAUAAGAAAAAAAAAACAAAAGAUCAGAAAUGUUAUGAAACUAGUCUGUACUUACAAUGCAUUGAUUUGUAAACGAAAUGCAGAUCAAGAAAAUUUAGAAUCAUCAGAAAAAGAAGUAGAUUUGAAUGGGUUAACAGAAGACAAAUCAGAUUUAAAUGAACAGUGUAACAAUGUAACAGAGAGCACAUUGUCAGAAACAGUUUGUGAAUUAGAGGAUAGAGUUGAACUAAGAAAUGAUCUUAUUUGCCAGCUUAGAAAUGAAGUAAAGCUAGUGUGUGUUAAUACAAGAAAAAUACAGGCACAGAAUCUAAUCCCAGAACCAAUAGAUACUGAAAAUGUAUCCUCACAGAGUGAUUUGCAGAAAUAUAAAUUUCAAGACAGAGCUGCAAAACUUAAUUUGAAGAUCCAUGAACAAUUAAUGAAAAUUGUGAAAUGUAUUCCAGUUUAUGACACGUCAGUGGAUGCAUUCACUAAUGCUGAAAUGUUUGAGUCUAAUUUAGACAAAUACAGCCUAAAUGACGAACAAAGGAAUAGACUAUUUCAAAUAUGGCUGCCGACUCAAAUGGCAUGUAGGCUGACCGCGAUUGUAAAAUUUGAGGACAAUGGUGAAAUAAUAUAUGGAAAUAAGCGAGACAGAUUAACACAAUUAAUAAAAUUAACAACAGGGAAUGAUUUUGCAGACACUGAAAUGUUGGAAAAACUAAAACCACACAAGGGGGAGGAUAUAUUUAGUUUUCUUGUAAAAUUUGAAAAUGCAUAUAGACUUGUUGCUGAUUUUUCUGAAGAUCAGUUAAUUAAUGAAUUUGUGAAAAAAUUUCAAGAUCUAGAUCCAACUGCAAUUGUGGUAGCUAGAGAAAAAAGCACUUUGACAGAAGUAGCUUUGUUCUUGGAUAACUUAAGGAGGGAAACCAAGAAUGAAGGGGUUAAAACGACUUGUGGCUUUAGGCAGAGAAAGAAGUGCAGAUGUUACAGCCCCCGUCCCCCUUCUUCUUCUUCUUCUUCUUCUAGGACAGAGUGUAGAGUGAUACAGACAGCUGAGCCCCUCCCAAUUUAUUCAACUAAAUAUAGGGCAGUUGAUAAUAUAGGGCAGAAUAUAACUCCUAAAGUUAUUUGUUUUUGGUGCAAUAAACAACAUUAUUUAAGAUCUUGCAGAUAUUUUAUCCGAGAUAUCAAAUCAAAAGCAAAUGAGAAAUUAAAUUUGUUGAUUGAAAAUUUUGACAGAGAAAAUACAUGUGGAGAUAAAUCAAUUAAAGCCUUUCCUUGUAAACUUAUAAUCAGACAAAUAAAAGCAAUUUUAGCUAAAUCGAAAUUAGGGGACAGACAAGCAAUGCAGCGUAACACAGAAAGUUAUAAGAAUCAGAUAACUUCAAGAGAUAUGAUCAGUUUAGGGAAUGAGCAUGGAUAUGUCUGCCAACAGAGGUACACAGGCUGAUUCCAGAAUUAAGAACAGCCAAGAAUAGAGUUCUAUGUUAGUUUGUUUUAAUGAAAUGUUAGUCUGAACUGUUUUUUUUCAUUGUUUUAUAUGUAUUUUAAGAAAGUAUUAGGUUAAUUAAUUAAAAUAAAAAUGUACAUCAAGUUUGCAAAUAUGGCAGAAUGAAAUACACUAAUGUAGCAGUGAGGAACAUGCAAUGUAUGUUAUAUUGGGUGUAUGCAAUUAUACAGUAACUCCAAUCAUUUUACAGAAGGUAAAAACAAUGUUGUUACUUCUGAGGUUGAUUUAAAAUCUUUGAUUUAAUUAAUGAGAAUGAGAUUUUACUAUCAUGACUGAUAAUGGAUUACUGUAUAUUGCAACGCCUGGACAUACACAUGGUUUGGAUAUACUGAAGACAAAAGGAAUAAUAUAUGGGAAUGGAUAAGGCUGAUUUCCCCCUAUCCACAGCCACGCCUACUCCUAAAGUAACAUCGCGUACAUCCUUACUAUGCCCUUUUACUGUAGAAUUUCCCGAAUCCUAAUGACCCAUUCCACUACAUGGUGUGACUUGUUUAAGCCUAAGAUAAAUUGGCUGAUCAGGCUACCUGUAUUAACAAUGUCAUCAACGAUGAGUUAGCAUCUGUGGAGAAGCAUCACUUCAGGUUGUCCCAAAUUUUCUUUUAACUUAAGUUUUAGUACAUAGUAAGGCCCAUGCCCAAUAACUAUAUGCAGCCUUGUAUAGCAGGCCACAUGACAUCUAUUUGUACCAAGCAAGGCCUGCCUGACUCCUCAUUCCUGUCUAACAUUGUUGUCUCCUGCAUAAGUGUAGAUGGCUCUCCUUGGAGUAGCCUGUUAACUAAGCCUUGCUUUGUGGAUACCUUCACCUGUCCAAUUAAUCUGCUAGGUGCAGAUGUCCUUCCCCCACUUGCAGGCCCCUAUCACCUUAUUAUUUAUUUUGUUCCACACAGUGAAACCUGACCAAGAGGCAAGGGUCCUAGCUAGUUCCCCCAAUACCUUUACCUGAAUUAUACAGGCCCCAAAGCCUGUCCAAGCUCUUACUAUUCCCUAACAGGUUAAGGCUCUGGUGUCGAAUGUUGCCCUGGUUACCUGAGACUUUCCAUGCAAUAUCCCACCUCUCCUUGUGAUGGACGAAUUCUGUGCAGGAUAAUGUCACCCUGCAGGGAUGAUACUCUAUUUACCUGGCCACUCUUCUGCCACUUCCCAAGGGGGGAAAUGAUAAGACACUGACUAUUAUUUUUUUUUUUAGCCUUUUUCUUAUGUUCUGUUCCGGAUUUGCUGUCACUACAGUGGACCAAGUAUCUCACCUCAACAAUGUCUGCACAAGAAGCUGAGCUAUAGACUCCCAUCACACCAUGCAAGAUCUCUGAAGGAAGACUGAACUCAGAGGAAGCAUGUGGCAGCUCUCUGGCUGACUAAGUUGUUCAAAAAGUUGUAAGUGCACUAAGGGAAGUGGACAGAAAAGUGUCUGCUGAAGAAACUCCCAUAUUCACCAUGUAAGAUCCUACCCACAGACAUCAAGCUCCCGAAGGAAUAACAAGCAAGCUACUGACCCUGGAAAGAAAGAAAACAAACAAACCACAAGCUGGAAACAGAAAGGGGCAACUCUUAAAGACAGGCUGUACUUCAACAAUCUCAAGUUAUACUUGCCCAAGAACAUAUACUCAGCAGUGGUCCAGUGGGCCUACGGAGCAUCUGUCCAGAACCCUCAUGAACUCUUUUGAUCAAUAAAUACUCUGAAGUACCAGGAAUUGAAUCUCUGACCAACAGUUACUGUAAAUCUUGUGCCAUUUGUGCCAAGGGCAACUCAAGAAGAAUGGAUGAAAGCCCCAAGCAUCUAGCCAAACCUCAUUAUCUCUUCCAGAGGAGUCAAGUCGCCAGAAUGCCAAAGAAUGGCUGAUUCAAAUAUGCACUAAUUAUAGCAGACAUGUUUUCAGGAUGGCCAGAGGCCUAUCCAGCCACCAAAGUGAUAACCAAGACCACAUGCUGAGUAGUGCACCGUGAAAGAUACAGAGAUCACCCCGUGGGUUCAUCAUUCCAGAAUCAAGCCUGCCUCUGCAUCAUGUGAAGUAACAUUUGUUGAUCUUGACAACCCUUUUUGAAACUCCAUUCUUAGAGAACAAAGAUACUUGUUGAAAAUAAAUAAAUAAAUAUCAACAAGUGGGUGUUUUGAUGGCCAUAAUAAUGCCUGACCACCUGCCAUCGAUGGAAAGCUGAAUACCCCAAAAGGGGACCUCGUGAAACUAAAGAGAAACAAACAUACUCCUUACCCUGCAGCCCUCACGUCUGAGGUGCCAUACGCACAGUCAAAGCUUCUUCAAGAUCAUCUGCUUAUCUUGAGUUUGUGGUGAUAUUAAUAUUGAAUGUUUAAAUGAUCUGAAUCUGCCAGUACUAGGGUAGCAUGAGACAAGAUUUCUAAGAAUAAGUAAAUGUGCCCUAGCCUAGGUUAUUAUGUCCAUACACAUAACACAUGACAAUCCCCAAGGUACUCUUGACACACCUCAUUCAUGCUUCAGGACAAAAAGGAGUACCCCUAUAAAGGGUGGUUUUACCCACACAUAUAUAUAUAUAUGUAUAUUAAUGCCAUAGGGGUGUCAAGGGGGGUACCAAAUAAUUUUAAGGUAAGAAACUAAGUUUGAAUCUAUUCUCCCAAGCAUUACGGCUAAUAAAAUCUGAAUUGGAAGGGAAGAGGUUUAUACAAUAAACAGGAGACCUUUUUCUUACAGGACAUGUAUGACUCAGCUGAAUGGGUAGGUGCCACGCACAUGACUGUUAAUCCCCUCAAACCACACAUUAGGACUUUAAAAGACAUGGUAGUCAUCCCAUAUUUGAGGAUAAGAGGGCUGUAGAGACAGGUUUCUCUGACACUAACUUGUGACUUGAAUGGAUGAAAUACAAUGCUACUAAACAUAACAAGUCUAACUGCUAUGUCUGCAGAGGAGCGAGGCCUCACCCAGGUACAGUAUCCCUGAACCUUCCUCCGGAUAUGAAGUAUGCGUUUUAAGUCUCUACACUGUAUUUAAACCUAAGCGGUCAGCAUGCGAGUCAUGGAAACUUAAUACCCAAUCAUUACUAAAAAUAUUAACCCAGACGAAGGCAUUACUAUAUAGCCCGGGAACUAUACUUGUUAUGGGAUAUAUGGUGGGAUAGGGCGGUUACAAACUAUCUCUCAGAUGACCUUCCAGAAUAGAAUAAGCUUGGAAAUGAUUUUAGCAGAAAAAGGGAGAGUAUGUAAAAUACUCCCAGACACCAUGACAUGCUGUACCUAUAUUCCAGAUAAUACAGGCCCUAAUGGUAAGGUAACGUUGGCAAUAGAAAAGUUAAAGAGUUUGUCCAAUGAACUGAAACGAAAUUCUGGGGCCACAGAUCCAUGGGAAAGAUGGUUUGGAUGGAUGUCUGAAUGGCAAGGUGCUCUGGCCCAAAUAGGUGUUGCCAUUUUAAUAACGAUAAUCAUCCUCGCUCUUCUUGUUUGUUGUGUGUUACCCUGUCUUAAGAAAUGCCUACAAAAAACAGUUGAUCAGGCAAUCGACCAGACCACCCCGACCUUCCUUCACCAAGAGAUUGACGAUAUCGACCGUGAUACACCACAUACACCCUUACAGUCCCACCGCACUAAAUCAACAGCUACUUCCUCUUAAGGACAUUUAGGGAUAGCGUCUGUCUCUACGGGCAGAAGUCUGCCGCGGGAGAAGUAGUGGACAAGCUGCUAUGGGGUACCCGCGCAGUGAAGUGUUCGAGGCCUGUUCAGACAGAUGUGCAAGAUAGCCUUUUGUUAUUUUUCUAUAGGGACAGUAUUAGAAUGAGAGAUAGUAGUUUUAGUAAAAAUUGCCAUUUUAAGGGGGGACUGUUAUGGACAGAUGAAUUAAAAUAAAAUGGCUAUUUACUAAUGUCUAUUUAUUCUCUGUUCACUAUGUUAAAACUGGCUUCUAGAGUAAAUGUUCCCUUCCCCCCCCUUACAAUGUGGUCAGCUGCUGUUUACUAUGUAAAUUCCUCACAUCCUGCUAGCCUCCCCUUUGUGCCAGUUAACAGCUAUAUGCCAUAUAUAGCUAAAUGGAGGAUCAUUGGUUUAGAACUGAUAGAUACCACUCACUCCCCCUUUCUCCGUGUAUCUAAAAGUGUGUAAUGAUGACACUACAUUCUGUAGGGGGGUUUAAACAAGAGGCCCCCUUCUCUGUUAACCAAUUGGUGAAUGUAUACUGUAUGUUUAAACUGUGACGUAUUUUUGCUUUAAGAAGGAGCCCCCACUCCGGGCAAUAAAGCAUUCCUGGGUUUUUCACUGAUCAGAAACUUUGUCUCCGGUGUGAAUUACUUCUAGGGAAAGCGUGCACGCAUUAAUUAAUCAAUUUGGAAGGUGUAGAUAGACAAAUAAUCAAAGUUUUCUUUGAUCCAAAACAACCCAUGAUUCCCAUGGGGGGGAGAUUUACUAAGCNNNNNNNNNNNNNNNNNNNNNNNNNNNNNNNNNNNNNNNNNNNNNNNNNNNNNNNNNNNNNNNNNNNNNNNNNNNNNNNNNNNNNNNNNNNNNNNNNNNNCAUCUGAGGUAAUGAAAUGUAUAUUUAAAAAAAGACUUACGUGCUGGUCAUGCUCAAAGUUUUGCAAUUUAAAAUCUUGCAUCAGAAAGCAAAUAAAUUACGUAUAGAUUCAAAAACAGUAACACUUGUCUGCAUUUAACUUUAUACUGUCAUAGAUACUUGCUAAAUUUGACACAAGCAAUGCAUUAAAUUCCAUAUGUUUUACUGUUCUUGGUACAAACAUUUGUCUAUGACAAUAUAAACAUUUUCUUGUAUGGAAAGUGGUAGUAAAUACCAGCAGAUCUUUUUCACUUCUGUCUUUCUCAUAGUCAUCGAAUACUAGUUGUUUACUGCUUUAUUCAAUUUUUUUUCAAUGAAACUUUUAUGCAAUAUCUUAAUCACAAGAUAUGUCUGUAACCUUAACUUACACAGUCUUCCUCUUGAAUAAGCUGGACAAUGCGAUGAAGGACAUCUGCAGCAGAAGUGCUAGGAAACAAACAAAAUUGUAUGAGUUGCUAAGCUCACAACUGUUUUUGUAAAAAGUUAUACUAGCACCAACCUAUACAGCUAACAUUAAAAGAAAACAAGAUAUCCAAUUGAAAAAUUAUGUCAAAGUUUGUUGUUUGGAAUAUUUUAGAUGUCAUGUUUGAGGUUUCUACCAUAAAAAUACCAUAAAAAGAAUUAUUCCAUUUAUGCUAUUUUGACUUCAAAUUUGAAAUUCACUUAGAAUUUUCUCUUUAGUGAUUACACCUAAAGUGUUUUUUUGUAAAUGUUGUCUUAACGUGGGGCAGUCACCAUGGAAACCAGUAGAGCAAACAGGGACAUUAAAUUGAUGAGUCUUCCCAUUUUACAUAUUUGCACCACUUUUUAGAACAUGUAGAUGAAUAUCCCUCAUUAUAUUGGAAGAGUGGUAAAGAAACUGAAGAAGAAAAGUAAAGACUUGAGUUUUUUUUUUUUUUAAAUGUCUAGUUUGUCAGAAUAGCGUAAGUAGAAAAAUGCUGGAGAUGGGGGAACAGGUUGAAGUGUUAUGGACAGAUGAAUUAAAAUAAAAUGGCUAUUUACUAAUGUCUAUUUAUUCUCUGUUCACUAUGUUAAAACUGGCUUCUAGAGUAAAUAUUCCCUUCCCCCCCUACAAUGUGGUCAGCUGCUGUUUACUAUGUAAAUUCCUCACAUCCUGCUAGCCUCCCCUCCCCCACUACCUUUGUGCCAGUUAACAGCUAUAUGCCAUAUAUAGCUAAAUGGAGGAUCAUUGGUUUAGAACUGAUAGAUACCACUCACUCCCCCUCCCAUUGUGUAUCCAAAAGUCUGUAAUGAUGACACUACAUUCUGUAGGGGGGUUUAAACAAGAGCCCCCUUUCUCUGUUAACCAAUUGGUGAAUGUAUACUGUAUGUUUAAACUGUGACGUAUUUUUGCUUUAAGAAGGAGCCCCCACUCCGGGGAAUAAAGCAUUCCUGGGUUUUUCACUGAUCAGAAACGUUGUCUCCGGUGUGAAUUACUUCUAGGGAAAGCGUGCACGCAUUAAUUAAUCAAUUUGGAAGGUGUAGAUAGACAAAUAAUCAAAGUUUUCUUUGAUCCAAAACAAUUUGGUGGAGAAUGCGGGCAUUUAAGGGAUACGUUACUAAGGCAGCCGUCAGAUCCCAAGACAGGAGAGCAAAGGAUUCCCAGAGAUUGGAAACGGAGCCUGAUCACCUCUGCAUAUGGUAAAUGAGUUACUUACCUAUAUUUUCCUUUCUUUGGAUUUCUCUUGUUCUCCGUGCCUUCACAUUCGGCUUCCGGUGUUUAACGUCUUCAGACAGGUAAUAUAUAUAUGCCCGAAUGUCCCCUUUUAUAUAGAACCUGUCACUUGUCUAUCUACAGCCUGAGUCCUGAGUGUGAGUUUUAUGUGUGAAAGUGUCUGUUUGAGAAUCUGUUUUACUACUUGCUUAAUACUGUUAUAUAAUGCUGCCAAGUGUGGUUAAGCACUUGCAGGUUUAGCCAAGUUCGGGUUUGGUGGAAAACCCCUGGCUCUAUAUUUAUUUUAGCUAAGCUUCGGUAAAGAAGUUAUUGCGAGACUCGGUCAAGAGUUUAAAAAUAAAUAAAUAAAAUAAUUAAAAAAAUAAAUAAAUAAAAAAAAAAAAAUAUUUUAGCUAAGCUUUGGUAAAGAAGCUAGUGAGUGAUGUUUUGGCCUCGUUUGGUAAAAAACCUGGCGGUUCCUUUGUUUUAUUAAGACUCGGUCAAGAGUUUAAAUAGCUAAGCUUUGGUAAAGGAGCGGUUUAUGUGCUUGAGUGUUUCUGUGUGUGUGAUUUGAUUUAUUAUAAGCCGGCAUUUAUUUUAAGAACUUUGUGAUUUAAUUACAUCUGUAUUUUGUGCUUUUGUCUGUGUAUGUCUUGUUGGGUACCAUAUAUGUUAAUUGUAAUCUAUACAAUUUGUAUCGUUACUCUCCUAUUCUAUCUUUUGUCCUAAGGAGAGCUGUGCUUAGGCAAUCACAUGGUUAAAAAACUUUGUGCUUGCAAGUCUUCCUCCCUCCUCCCCCCUCCUUCUUUGUUGCUUUCUCUUGCUCUGACUGCAGGGGUGGGGUGAAUGGGUGAAAUGCUUGUAAACUCAGUGAGGAAUGUGAGGGAAACAAGGUAUAUUUGCUGGACGAAUAACCUAGUUAGGAACUUUGUGUAAUCUUGUAUAUGUUGUUAAGUAAGAGGUUAUUGGCAUGUUGGAAUAAGGAAAGUUAGAUUUUGUUGGAACAAAUGAAUUGUGGAAUUUAUAAAUGAUAUCGCAGAGAAAAGUAAAUUGCAGUUUGCAUUUAAUAGCAGCUAUUCAGAUGCUGUUUUGUGGCAAUCUUUAUACACACAAUGUGAAAUUGCCAAUAGUGAAAUUGACAAGAAAUUGUUUGUUAAUAAGAAAAAAAAAAAAAAAAAAAGAUCAGAAAUGUUAUGAAACUAGUCUGUACUUACAAUGCAUUGAUUUGUAAACGAAAUACAGGUAAAGAAAAUUUAGAAUCAGCA
rnacentral:lncRNA from 1 species